GUAAAUGCUAAAUUAGGUAGAGUAUCAUUAAAUAGGGCUGUACCAUAAAAUAGCUUGUCCACAUUGAAGGCAGAUGAUCUUUAAAUGUCUACAUUGUCAAAUGGAAAAGAUGCCAUAAGCUAGCAACUUUGUCUCUGCUGACUACAUGCACAGGUCAUUCUGGAGUCUGAAGAUGACAAACAUUCCAAGGCUGGUGCAGCAGUAACAGCAGUUUCUAGCUUCAGCCAUCAUGGAAAGACUUUCCUUGAAGUACAUCCUAGACGGAAUUGUGAUUGCCAUAACAGCACAGAGUACCAAACAUUCUUCUUACAAUGCUGGGUUGAAAUGUAACUUUUGUGGAAAGAUAUAUGGAUAACUUCACAACAGAAUGAGGCUACACAUACUUGCAUCAUCUGAUAAAAUCUGAUUGGAAGUGACUGUUCCAAAUGUUACACCGAUACUGAAGACAUGAUCAGCAAGAAGUAGUGAUGGCCAAAGUUUUGACCACAGAACAUUUUGUUACGUUUUCUUUGUAAUCUUUGAAGGCAAUUGUUUAUUACUACACAAUCUAAUGUCCUGGGCCCAAUUUCACUAAACAUCGUAAGCCUACUUUUGCACGUAAACGUAAAUCUACGACUAAACCACAAUUCUUAUUACUAUUAUAGCUCAACAAAUAUUGUUAGAAAUAUGCAUAUUUCA